UAUGGUUUUUAGGUCAAAUUAACGAGAUCAUAUUGUAAAAUUUUUUAUAUUAAAAACAUUAUAUUAUAUUUUCUAGAUAAUAAAGUAAAAGUCACAGUUAAUCUUUCCACACCCAAUUUGUAUUGCUUUACGUUAUCAUGUUAUUGAAUUAUAUUUGUAUAUCGUGUAUAUAUAAUCACUGAAAGUUCCAUGAGUACAGUUCAGAAAGUAAUAUUAAAGUUCUAUAUGUGUACUACAUUUAAUUAAAAUUAAGGACAAAAAGGUAUAAUCAUAGAUUUUAUCAGAAAUAACAUUAAAGUGCUGAGACAGAGAUGAACCAUGAUUAUAAUUUUUAUUGUGGCUAGUUAAACGUGUUUUUCAGUAGUGAGGCAAAGUCAGGCAAGCUAUAUUUAACCAAAGAAAUAAUUGGAAGUGUAGUACAAUAUACACUAUUGACCUAAAACACGUGUAAUAAAUGAAAUUGCAUGAUAUACGCGGCGAUGUAUUAACAAGAUCGCUUAUCAGCUAUUAGUUGCACGACAGCUGUAGGUUUCAUUAAAAAAAACACACACACAGAAUUAAUAUUCCAACCAAGUCAAAUUUAGUCUUUACAGACAUUGGACAAGUGUAACACGUUUUCUUUCCGCACUUUACAACAUUUUGCUUACGCUCGCGAUUAAGCGGUGACUUUUGGUGUCUAUGUCAGCCAUUUAAUUAAGAUUUGUUGUUGGAACCAUAUUCAACUGCAUAUAAAAUUUGCAAAACUUAAUUCCAUUUAGGUUGAUAGUGAAUGGUUUACAAUGAUGUCGGAUGUGAAAAGUCUGAAGCAAGCGGUUAUGCCUAUUAUAUGGCUCAAUUGUUUGUGUUGCAUGGGUGUAUUUGAAAUGCCCAUAAACCGUCCACGAUAUUUUCUAAGUGGUUUCUAUGUCAUUUCAAUAUUAAUUGGAUAUUUCUGUUUAUUUUACGAAGAGAUUUACAUCUUCCAGAAAUUGCCUAUUCAGGCAUCUCUGAUAUUUUCUUUUGUUGUUAUGGGAGUCAACAUCGUGGUUGCCGUCUUGGCUAUAAUUCUAUUUUGGUGUAAAUCAGAGAAGACAAAUAACAUAAUUAAGAGGUCAAGUAUAGCGGACAGUACCUUACAAGCAUUGGGCAUAAAACUAGAGUAUCAGAAAAUCCACCGCAAUAUUCUGUGUUAUGUGACUGUCUCGCUGGCAAUCGGGAUAACAUUAUUCAUCGUACAUAUAGCGUGGAUGUUUCAUCAUGUUGGAUACUGGGCGGCUGUCCUUAGCAACAUAUGCAUAUGUUUUCCGGCUUUGAUAAAUUCUGUAGUGGAUCUCACUUUUGUCUCAUUUAUCAGAUGUGUUAAAGUGAAAUUUGAAAACACAAAUAUUCUAAUCAAGAAUAUAAUGCUUUCUACAAAUGAAUCAAAUGUUUUUAUGACGCACAAUCGGUACGAUAACACGUCUACUACAUUUGACAUAGAAAAUUAUAAAAAUAACAAAGACAAGAUAAUACAUCUCAUUCAGACACUAAGACAUUUACAUUUGGAAAUUACGAGAAUAGGACGGCAAAUUAAUCAAGCUUAUUGUCUGCAACUUCUGCUCGAAUUAGCAGUCCAUUUUACGAUGGUAACAUCAACUCUUUAUUGUAUAUACGGCGUAUUUUCUAACCAGUUAAGUGUAACCAUCAACAACGAAGAGAUUAUUGCUUUGACAAUGACAGCAUCCGUGUUUUCACUUAAAAUUAUAUUCAUAAAUUGGAUUUGUACGAAUGCAUCAACGGAGGCGUACAAAACCGGUGAAAUUAUACAAUCUUUUGAAGGGUCUAUUAUCGAUGAUGAUAUGCGAGAAGAGAUUCACCAAUUUACACUGCAAGUAGUGCUUAAUUCGUUAAAUUUUACCGCUACGGGUUUCUUUUCAAUUAAUAAUUCUCUUACUGGCAAGUUCUUUGCCACGGUGUCAACGUAUGUUGUUAUUCUAAUACAAAUGAACAAAUUCAUGUAACAUAAUGACAUUAGGAAGAAAAUUUAAACAUAUUAUAGAUAAACAUCUUCUAUUAAUAGAUAAAUAUCUCUGUCUUCUAUUAUUGUUACUUCGAAAAACGUGAGUUUGCAAAGAAGAAUUAACUAAUUUAAACUAAUUUAAUAAUUUUAUUUCUCUUACAAGCUUACUUUUUCUUGCAAUUGAUGAUUUGGAUAAAUCAAAGUGCAGUGGUAUAGAAAGGGUAAGCAAACUAGUACAAUGAUACAUUAGCGAAUAAUGAUAUUCUCUUCCAAAUAAAAUAAGUGAUUAGUAAAAUAAGAAAUAAACUCUUCAUGAAUAUCAUCUAAGCUGAACAGAAAAUUUGUGUGUGCGCGUUACAGACGGAAUAUAGGAUAAGUCGGAAAAUGAUGCCAUAAUUAAGAAAUAUAGAAAUACGAACAAAAAAUAAUCACAACACUCUUCAAUUUUAUCAAACUGAUACUUAAACUUUUGCAAACUUUCACAGUGUUAAAAAUAGUCGCCUUUUAAAAGUUAUUGUAAAAUAUUAUUAUUUGAUUAUACGUUGCAAAAUUAUAACCUUGCAAAAUUGGCAUUUUAUUCGUAUAUUUGAGUAAAAUGCCUGUAACAGUAGAAAAUGCAAAAGCUGAAAAACACGCAACACUCAAUAAGUGAAGUGUAAUAUGAAUACAAAACUUUGAUUUAUUUUUUCUAACAAUUGCAUGUAACUGAGCAAUACAGAACAAACUUCAAAACCUUACUUUACCGGUAAAACAAAUUUUAUGAAACAUUACAAAUAAAAUUUUGCAACGUUAUCACAAAUAGAAUGACUAAAUUAUAAUCCUUCUUAAAUAUAAUACAAUUCCAUGUGUUGUAUACGUUCUUUUUAACACCAUGGAACUGUGAAAAAGCUUGCACGCGUCAGUUAUUAUGUUAACAAUUUCACAUUAACAAUUAAAAGAUAUUACCACGUAUAAAAUAAUAAACAAAAUAUUAACAAUGAAAUCUUCGAAAGACUGGCAUCUUACUCCGACUUACCCUACAUGAUAUAGGUACUAGACAUAUGUACAUUUGUUAUAUGUAACAAUGUAGUUCAAAAAUUACUAAUUGUAGAAAUAUUGAUUCUGCUACAUAUAUGUGUACUAUCGUUUAAUGAUUUAACGACAUUAUAAUGAGCUGAUCUAAUCAGCUAUUAAUAUUAUCUCAUCAUCGUGAUGAAUGCCUUCUAUACAUAUAUUACGUGACUUUCAACUUUGGAUUUAACAGUUAGCAUGUGAAGUUGCAACAGUUGCAAUGGUUGAUACUAUAGAAAAAGCUUUACGUCCUCUCUCCUUAGUCGCUUUUAUCUUUGGUUUCGGAAUUCUCAGAUAUCCUCUCAAUCUUUGGAAAUUUCGUUUGAGCAUCUUUUAUAUAUUAAUUGUGUGGAGUCUCUAUAUCGGUUUGUUUCAUUUUGUGAUACACAUCUUUUCACCAAGGCGUAUAUUCAACAGCGUUUUGACUUUCUUUAUGAUAAAUAUAAAUUUUCUUGUGACGAUAAUAUCUGUAACCAUCACCGUUCGCAAAUACGAGAAUAUCCGCAUAUGUAUAAAGAAACUUGGUCUUGUGGAUGAUACAUUGGAAAAACUUGGAACGCCCAAGGAAUAUAGUAGAAUUCAAAACUCGAUAAUAUGGGCGUUAAUUAUGUAUCUUAUAGUAAUUCUCAUAUCAUUUGCUACCGACUCUAUUUGGAAUAUAGAAAAGCAUAACACUUUAAAAGCUAUGAUUAUUCCUCUUGUUUUGGCAUAUCCAUUUUAUGUCAAUACUCUUGGAGAUAUAAUGUUUGUGUUUGUGUUGAGAUAUAUUGAUACCAGAUUGGAUAAAAUAAACGACUAUAUUGAACAACUAUCAGAAGCUAAAGGGUAUGGAUUGAGAUGCAAGUGGAAAAAGUCUUUUCGCAUUCGCCACUAUGUUCGAAGCGCGGAUAAUCGCAAACACGUGUUAUGGACCGUAAUGCAUCUUCAUUUGGAGCUUUGUCGAGUAGCUCGUAACAUAAAUGACUUAUUUGGAACGCAAUUGACAUUGCAGAUGAUAUCUUACUUCGUUAUUUUAAUUAUAUUAUUUUAUGUUCAGUAUCAUAUGAUAUUGUGUUUAAAAUAUAUGCAUGGGAGCGAUUCAGCUAAAUUGAAACUUAUGUUUGCUAACAACAUGUGGUGUAUAAUAUUCUUAACGAAAUUCAUAUUACUGAAUCAUAUUUGCGAAAGUGUUAGUGC